rnacentral:rRNA from 1 species
UGGGGAAUUUUGGACAAUGGGGGAAACCCUGCUCCAGCCAUCCCGCGUGUGCGAUGAAGGCCUUCGGGUUGUAACGCACUUUUGGCAGGAAAGAAACGUCAUGGGUUAAUACCCCGUGAAACUGACGGUACCUGCAGAAUAAGCACCGGCUAACUACGUGCCAGCAGCCGCGGUAAUACGUAGGGUGCAAGCGUUAAUCGGAAUUACUGGGCGUAAAGCGUGCGCAGGCGGUUCGGAAAGAAAGAUGUUAAAUCCCAGAGCUCAACUUUGGAACUGCAUUUUUAACUACCGGGCUAGAGUGUGUCAGAGGGAGGUGGAAUUCCGCGUGUAGCAGUGAAAUGCGUAGAUAUGCGGAGGAACACCGAUGGCGAAGGCAGCCUCCUUGGAUAACACUGACGCUCAUGCACGAAAGCGUGGGGAGCAAACAGG